rnacentral:rRNA from 1 species
UACGUAGGGUGCGAGCGUUGUCCGGAAUUAUUGGGCGUAAAGAGCUCGUAGGCGGUUUGUUGCGUCUAUCGUGAAAACCUGCGGCUUAACUGUGGGCUUGCGGUGGAUACGGGCAGACUUGAGUUCGGUAGGGGAGACUGGAAUUCCUGGUGUAGCGGUGAAAUGCGCAGAUAUCAGGAGGAACACCUAUGGCGAAGGCAGCUCGCUGGGACGUUACUGACGCUGAGACGCGAAAGCGUGGGGAGCAAACAGG